rnacentral:lncRNA from 1 species
UGCUUAGAGUCAGGAGAAUAAACGGUCCCAUAUAGAGAUAGGUUUAUGAAGCGGAGUCUGAAGGAUGAGCUUCAUCAGCAAUCCUCAGAAUGUCAGUUCUACUAGCUAAGGAUGCAGGUAAGUAUGUUGGACACCAAGAGAACAGGAAGGAAGUGUUUUGAACACUGGAGGUGGGUCAUGAGGAAGCUUAUACAUAUUCACAUUGUGAAUCAAUUUCAAGGACAGAUGAACAAAGACUGGGCGUUACCAAUAGAGCAGGGUUUUGUUUUGUUUUUCCCCUAAGGCAAAAGGCAGAAAUGAGUGGGUACACCAUGAUUAAGUUGCAUUCUGUAGAGAUAGGAUCAUUUAAGUCAAGUCAGCAACAAAAAUUAGAGACAUUGAAGAUGAUGGGGUAGAAAAGGGGUAUCAAAUAGGUUAGAAAGAUGGCUUGAAAGGAAAUGAGGGAAAUUUCAGUGAGUUUGAGGAAUGGCAGACUGGGUAUGUGACAAAUGAGUGGGUAAAUAAGGAAAUCUCAGACUGAGAAUCCUGGCAGAUCUUUCAAUGGGUUAGACUGCAGGAAUAUUGAUUUUAAAGCCAGACUGAAGCAAAUUCUAGUGAUAAAGGAAGGGGAAAGGGUGGCUGAAUCAAAUGUUCUACCAAUACUGCUUUUUUUAGUAUUUGAGUUAAAAUUCAGAUUAAAUGCUUGGCUUAGAAGAAUGCAAAGCUUCACUGAGCCUAAUAAUAUGGAUCCCAGUGGGUGAGUGGAGGUGAGUUAAAGUAAAAAACUCUGAGGCAAAUCUUACUUAACUGAAGUUGUGUUUUUAGUACAGAAUGCCAAGUUAAUAUGGUUAAUACUGAACAAAAAAUAAUGGAAGGGCAACUACAGUAGCUUAAGAUGGCACUUUAAGGAAGUGUAGGCAGAAAGUCAAGAAAUUAAAAUAAUUAUGAAUCAUUAUAUGGCAGGCAAUAUUUCCAAUGAAAAUCAGAGAAAAUAAACUCACAUACAUGUACUGUUACAGCUGAUCUUAGUAUGAAUAUUUUCUAUUAAAGACUGUUUUAAAAUAAGUUAUUAAUAUUUGUUGAAAUGGUUCCAGAUAACAAGAAAUAUGAUGCAAUAAAACCUGAUAAAUAAAAGCAAUAUAAAGAUUAGAAUGGUUUUGAAUAGGUAGUGGAAUAAAAAGUUAAGUUGGUAGUUGCAUUAAAAAGGUCAAACAUGGGGAAUAAUUGGUAGAAUGUUGUGUAUAUAAUAUAUAUUGUUACGGGUGCAAUAAAUAUUCAGGGGAAACAGAGCUGCUGAAAGAGAAUGAAUGCUUAGAAGGAAUGUUGCCUUAAAGGCUUUUCUAAAACUUUUUAGGUAAAGGACAAAUUCUGGGAGGACGAAAGAUAAUAAGUAGGACUAGUUACAUAGAGACUUAGGAUGUCCAUAGUCUUUCAAGAAAUUGCCCAACCUUUGCGAGAAGGUGUUAUGGUAAUAUAUUGAUGUUGGGUUAAAGCAAAUUUUUUCAGAUAGGGUAGAUUUUUAUACAUUUAUAAAGUAAAGGGGAGUAGGAAAGAUUAAAGAUAGAUCAAAGAAAGGAAUAAUUGAUGGAACAACUUUCUGGAAGAGAUUAGAGGGUAUGUGUCUUUUGAACUCUGGAAGACUUGAUUUUAGAGAGGAUAAAGGAAGAAAGUGGAUAAUUCUAGAAUUAAACACCAAAAGGUUCUAUGUGUCUGGCACCAUGUGAAGCAACUUACCUAUUAUUUCAUUUCAUUUCAUUUCAUUUCAUUUCAUUUCAUCCUAUAACAGUCCUAAGAGAUCAAAUAAUUUGUCCACGAUUACACAGUCAGUAUGUAGCAGGGCCAGCAUUCAAAUCCUCAUCUGUCUAUCAAACCCAUAUUCCCUUCUAUUAUGCUAUACUGUUUUCAAGUUGAAGGAAAUCAAACCAAGAAUUUCUGUUUUUUCACUGCGAUUAUAAGGAAAAAUAUUAUUUUUCUGAAAUGAGACAUAUUGAUGUUUAAGACCUUGAGGUGACAGGUAAAAUUUGGAAUAUCUGUGAUGGGAAAAUGCAAAAAGGAAGGAAUGGGUGAAAGAUACCUAUUACCAUCUAUGCCCUGGUAUUUCACUUCUUCCAUUGCACAGCAUAGACUUUAGAUUGGCCAUGGAUUAAAAAUUUGAGAAUUCUGACAAAAAACUAAAUAGAAAGGAGUUUGUUUUUUAAGUAGGUAUAUGAUGGGUCAAAUAUAAACUUACUACUAACAAAACUUUAAACAAUUCCCUAAAUGCCAAACUUUUAUAAACAAAAAUCAAACAAACCAUCAAGCAAAAGAGUCCAUAGCCAGCAGACCAAAUGUUGAAAUCUCUGGGCUAAUUUGUAAGAUCUAUGUUUUAAAACUCCUUAGUGAAGAGGGGCAAGAAAACCUCUCCUCUUUUUCCUCUCUUGGUGGAAAUGUUUUGUUGUUGUUGUUGGUUUUUUCCUAUACUAUAUGUAAUUUCUAUAUUGUUGUUUUGUGUAUUUUGGUAUUAUAAAAUUAUACUUCUUAGAUUCCGUUAAGAAUACUUUCUGGGGUGUGAGCCACCUGAGUUAUUAGUUAGCAAAAUGAACCUGGGGAAGUGGGAAGAGCUAGUAUUCUCAAUUGGCAAGGGAUUGAUUCUUCAAUGGGUUCAGCAUUUCACUUCCCUCUGAAAUUAAGUGGCAAAGUAAUAGCAUCCCUUAAAAAACAGGACAUUGGUGAGAGGUAGAAUAGCAGGAGGAAUUUUGAAACAUGGAGGGAUGGCUACUGGAAAAGAACUGAUGAAGUGCAGAGUCUCUCCAGACAAUGGUAGAAACCACAGGACUACAUUAAGAUUGGGCCCAAAUACUAGUUUAGAAAAAGGUAAAUAAAACUAGCUUUACUUAAGAGUACAGCCAGCUUAAUUACUGGCUAGUGGACAUAUUUCAGACAAAUCUAACUGGAGAGAAAAACAGACCAGGAGAGAAAGCGAAGUUACAAGGAAAUGGAACUAGAGAAACCUCACAAAGGGAUAAAGGAGGUAAUUAAAGGUUAAAGCCAGAUAGCCUCGAGCUCAAAGGAGAAAUAUUGGAGGCCAGAUAGGAAAGUGCCUUCCUACUCAGGGGGUUAUGGAUCCAGGGUGGCUAAAGAAUAGAAGUAGAGUUCCACCCAGGGCCAGAGGGAACAAUCUGGGAUUCAGACACAGCAGUGGUGCCAACGUGAAUCUACCUCGUGCUAGAGUCUGAGUAGCCUAGUCUAUCACCCAACACAGAUAAGACUGGACAGGGGCUCCCAGGAACCAACAUCUAAGAAGGGAGUUUGGAGAGGGGCUAAAAGAAAGCAGGUUAAGCCCCAAAUGUAACUGAAUGAUGACCAGGGAUAACUAUUUACUAGUGCUUUUAUGAUUUAUUGUAACUCUGUAACUUUCCCAGUAUUUGUUAAUUUUUUAACUUCUGUUUCUCCUGUACUUACGAGCAGUAAAAGUUGUUCAAAACAUAAAAAAAAAAAAAAAAAA